rnacentral:rRNA from 1 species
GACGAACGCUGGCGGCGUGCUUAACACAUGCAAGUCGAACGGAAAGGCCCUGCUUUUGUGGGGUGCUCGAGUGGCGAACGGGUGAGUAACACGUGAGUAACCUGCCCUUGACUUUGGGAUAACUUCAGGAAACUGGGGCUAAUACCGGAUAGGAGCUCCUGCUGCAUGGUGGGGGUUGGAAAGUUUCGGCGGUUGGGGAUGGACUCGCGGCUUAUCAGCUUGUUGGUGGGGUAGUGGCUUACCAAGGCUUUGACGGGUAGCCGGCCUGGGAGGGUGACCGGCGACAGUGGGACUGAGAUACGGCCCAGACUCCUACGGGAGGCAGCAGUGGGGAAUAUUGCACAAUGGGCGGAAGCCUGAUGCAGCAGCGCCGCGUGCGGGAUGACGGCCUUCGGGUUGUAAACCGCUUUCGCCUGUGACGAAGCGUGAGUGACGGUAAUGGGUAAAGAAGCACCGGCUAACUACGUG